rnacentral:rRNA from 1 species
GAUGAACGCUGGCGGCGUGCCUAAUACAUGCAAGUCGAGCGAACAGACGAGGAGCUUGCUCCUCUGACGUUAGCGGCGGACGGGUGAGUAACACGUGGAUAACCUACCUAUAAGACUGGGAUAACUUCGGGAAACCGGAGCUAAUACCGGAUAAUAUAUUGAACCGCAUGGUUCAAUAGUGAAAGACGGUUUUGCUGUCACUUAUAGAUGGAUCCGCGCCGCAUUAGCUAGUUGGUAAGGUAACGGCUUACCAAGGCAACGAUGCGUAGCCGACCUGAGAGGGUGAUCGGCCACACUGGAACUGAGACACGGUCCAGACUCCUACGGGAGGCAGCAGUAGGGAAUCUUCCGCGAUGGGCGAAAGCCUGACGGAGCAACGCCGCGUGAGUGAUGAAGGUCUUCGGAUCGUAAAACUCUGUUAUUAGGGAAGAACAAAUGUGUAAGUAGCUAUGCACGUCUUGACGGUACCUAAUCAGAAAGCCACGGCUAACUACGUG